UGGUUCAGGACGAACGCUGGCGGCGUGCCUAAUACAUGCAAGUCGAGCGAAUCGAUGGGAGCUUGCUCCCUGAGAUUAGCGGCGGACGGGUGAGUAACACGUGGGCAACCUGCCUAUAAGACUGGGAUAACUUCGGGAAACCGGAGCUAAUACCGGAUACGUUCUUUUCUCGCAUGAGAGAAGAUGGAAAGACGGUUUACGCUGUCACUUAUAGAUGGGCCCGCGGCGCAUUAGCUAGUUGGUGAGGUAAUGGCUCACCAAGGCGACGAUGCGUAGCCGACCUGAGAGGGUGAUCGGCCACACUGGGACUGAGACACGGCCCAGACUCCUACGGGAGGCAGCAGUAGGGAAUCUUCCGCAAUGGACGAAAGUCUGACGGAGCAACGCCGCGUGAACGAAGAAGGCCUUCGGGUCGUAAAGUUCUGUUGUUAGGGAAGAACAAGUACCAGAGUAACUGCUGGUACCUUGACGGUACCU
rnacentral:rRNA from 2 species